CCUACGGGAGGCAGCAGUGAGGAAUAUUGGUCAAUGGACGAGAGUCUGAACCAGCCAAGUAGCGUGAAGGAUGACUGCCCUAUGGGUUGUAAACUUCUUUUAUAUGGGAAUAAAAUGUUCCACGUGUGGGAUUUUGUAUGUACCAUAUGAAUAAGGAUCGGCUAACUCCGUGCCAGCAGCCGCGGUAAUACGGAGGAUCCGAGCGUUAUCCGGUUUUAUUGGGUUUAAAGGGAGCGUAGGUGGAUUGUUAAGUCAGUUGUGAAAGUUUGCGGCUCAACCGUAAAAUUGCAGUUGAAACUGGCAGUCUUGAGUGCAGGAGAGGUGGGCGGAAUUCGUGGUGUAGCGGUGAAAUGCUUAGAUAUCACGAAGAACUCCGAUUGCGAAGGCAGUUCACUGGACUGCAACUGACACUGAGGCUCGAAAGUGUGGGUAUCAAACAGGAUUAGAUACCCGGGUAGUC
rnacentral:rRNA from 1 species